rnacentral:misc_RNA from 1 species
GCUGAAGAACGUAGCGAAAUGCGAUAAGUAAUGUGAAUUGCAGAAUUCCGUGAAUCAUCGAAUCUUUGAACGCACAUUGCGCCCCCUGGUAUUCCGGGGGGCAUGCCUGUCCGAGCGUCAUUGCAACCUUCAAGCGCGGCUUGUGUGUUGGGUCUCGUCCCCCGUGGACGGGCCCGAAAGGCAGUGGCGGCGUCCCGACAUGGUGCCCGAGCGUAUGGGAAUCCUCUUCCGCUCGAAUCGGCCCAUGCGGCGCUGGUCGUAACCAAAUUUUUUACCGGUUGACCUCGGAUCAGGUAGGGAUACCCGCUGAACUUAAGCAUAUCAAUAAGCGGAGGA